rnacentral:rRNA from 1 species
UCACUUUCGCUUCUUCCCUGCUGAAAGAGGUUUACAACCCGAAGGCCGUCAUCCCUCACGCGGCGUCGCUGCAUCAGGCUUUCGCCCAUUGUGCAAUAUUCCCCACUGCUGCCUCCCGUAGGAGUCUGGGCCGUGUCUCAGUCCCAGUGUGGCCGGUCGCCCUCUCAGGCCGGCUACCCGUCGUCGCCUUGGUAGGCCAUUACCCCACCAACAAGCUGAUAGGCCGCGGGCUCAUCCUUCACCGCCGGAGCUUUCAACCAGCUCCCAUGCGGAAGCCGGUGUUAUCCGGUAUUAGACCCCGUUUCCAGGGCUUGUCCCAGAGUGAAGGGCAGAUUGCCCACGUGUUACUCACCCGUUCGCCACUAAUCCACCCCGAAGGGCUUCAUCGUUCGACUUGCAUGUGUUAAGCACGCCGCCAGCGUUCGUCCUGAGCCAGGAUCAAACU